rnacentral:rRNA from 1 species
CGGAAGUUACUGGGCGUAAAGCGCAUGCAGGCGGCCUGUUAAGUCAGAUGUGAAAGACCCGGGGCGUUAACCUCGGAAAUUGCAUUUGUAAACUAGGCAGGCUAGAGUCGUUGUAGAGGGGGUAGGAAGUUUCAGGUGUAGCGGUGAAAUGCGUAGAGAUCUGAAGGAAUACCAGUGGCGAAGGCGGCCCCCUCGGACAAAGACUGACGCUCAGAUGCGAAAGCGUGGGGAGCAAAACAGGAUUAGAUACCCCUGGUAG